GAUGAACGCUGGCGGCGUGCCUAAUACAUGCAAGUCGAGCGAACGGACGAGAAGCUUGCUUCUCUGAUGUUAGCGGCGGACGGGUGAGCAACACGUGGAUAACCUACCUAUAAGACUGGGAUAACUUCGGGAAACCGGAGCUAAUACCGGAUGAUAUUUUGAACCGCAUGGUUCAAAAGUGAAAGACGGUCUUGCUGUCACUUAUAGAUGGAUCCGCGCUGCAUUAGCUAGUUGGUAAGGUAACGGCUUACCAAGGCAACGAUGCAUAGCCGACCUGAGAGGGUGAUCGGCCACACUGGAACUGAGACACGGUCCAGACUCCUCCGGGAGGCAGCAGUAGGGAAUCUUCCGCAAUGGGCGAAAGCCUGACGGAGCAACGCCGCGUGAGUGAUGAAGGUCUUCGGAUCGUAAAACUCUGUUAUUAGGGAAGAACAUAUGUGUAAGUAACUGUGCACAUCUUGACGGUACCUAAUCAGAAAGCCACGGCUAACUACGUG
rnacentral:rRNA from 1 species